AGGGAUCAUUACCGAGUUUACAACUCCCCAAACCCAAUGUGAACGUUACCAAACUGUUGCCUCGGCGGGAUCUCUGCCCCGGGUGCGUCGCAGCCCCGGACCAAGGCGCCCGCCGGAGGACCAACCAAAACUCUUUUUGUAUACCCCCUCGCGGGUUUUUUGUAAUCUGAGCCUUCUCGGCGCCUCUCGUAGGCGUUUCGAAAAUGAAUCAAAACUUUCAACAACGGAUCUCUUGGUUCUGGCAUCGAUGAAGAACGCAGCGAAAUGCGAUAAGUAAUGUGAAUUGCAGAAUUCAGUGAAUCAUCGAAUCUUUGAACGCACAUUGCGCCCGCCAGUAUUCUGGCGGGCAUGCCUGUCCGAGCGUCAUUUCAACCCUCGAACCCCUCCGGGGGGUCGGCGUUGGGGAUCGGCCCUGCCUCUUGGCGGCGGCCGUCUCCGAAAUACAGUGGCGGUCUCGCCGCAGCCUCUCCUGCGCAGUAGUUUGCACACUCGCAUCGGGAGCGCGGCGCGUCCACAGCCGUUAAACACCCAACUUCUGAAAUGUUGACCUCGGAUCAGGUAGGAAUACCCGCUGAACUUAA
rnacentral:rRNA from 1 species